rnacentral:rRNA from 1 species
AGAGUUUGAUCCUGGCUCAGGACGAACGCUUGCGGCGUGCCUAAGAAAUGCAAGUCGAGCGGGGGAGCAAUCCCCAGCGGCGAACGGUCGCGUAACACGUAGGCAACCUGCCCCAGAGACCGGGACAACACUCCGAAAGGGGUGCUAAUACCGGAUGCGGCCGACGGGAGACAUCUCCUGUCGAUUAAACCCCUUCGGGG